rnacentral:tRNA from 2 species
UGCGGGCGUGGCGGAACUGGCAGACGCGCUAGAUUUAGGUUCUAGUUUCCUUAUGGAAGUGGGGGUUCGAAUCCCUUCGCCCGCAU